AAAAUGCACCAUUGCUACAAAAGCUUAAGUUGUAGAGAGGGAGAUCCAACUACGAGAAACGGCUAUGGUCUUUUAAUGUGCACAUAGGUGGAGCAGUGAGGCGAGGCAAAGGAAUUGGCUCAAGGCAGAGAAAGAAGUAAUGGAGACACAAGAAGUGAGGAGGCUUCACAUCGUCUACUUUCUUAGUCGAAAGGGGCGUAUCGAACACCCUCAUCUCAUUCGAGUCCAUCAUCUCUCCAGAAAUGGUGUUCGAUUGCGAGAUGUGAAGAGAUGGCUGUCGGUGCUGCGUGGGAACGAGAUACCGGAGUCGUUUUCUUGGUCAUACAAGAGUGCAGGAGAUACAAAACAGGGCAUGUGUGGCAGGAUUUGGUAGAUGAUGAUCUCAUCACUCCAAUUUCAUACAAUGAGUAUGUGCUUCAAGGAUCAGAGAUUUCAUCCAUCAAUAUCAAAGUUGGUUAGGAAAAAAAACAAACUCACCCAACAACAGAGGCCUCAGUUGAAGUCUCAUCAAUACCGGCGUCUGAAAUCGAAGAAGAAUCGCCGUCUUUUGGCUCAGAGACAUCCACAAGUACAGAUGACUCGGGAAAAGUCGAGAUGGAGAAAAGUUCGGACACAACCAAAGAAGAAACGCCAAGCAUCAAUGACAAAGUGGGGCGGCAUUGGCCUUUUUACUCCACACUUUUAAGCAAGAAGAGAAGCAAGAAUGCCACUAUUGAUGAAAAGACUGUUCCAGCUGAGGAUGUUGACCUGUGCAAGGACUUGGCAUCAGAGCCUCAAUGCAUGAAGAGCAAGAACAACACGAACAGCAAAUCUAAAAUGCUCAAGAACCUGAUCACUUGUGGAGAUAUAAAGACGAAUGAGUCUGCAGUUGUUCCAAUGAAGAAACCAAACAAGCAGCCUUUCACGAGCAUGUGUUGGAGUGAUGUGGAGAAUGUUCAUUCCGCUGCAUUGUGGAAAAGGGAUAGUGGUGGCUUCGGAGGCUCACAGAGGGUGUGUAGGAUUCCUGCUUCGGCUCGACAAUACUUUAGUGGAAAUAUUUCUUGCCAUUUGUCUACUGUGUUAACUUACUGAGAAAAUGAUGGGAAAAUGAUUGAAUUUUUGCAGGAAGAGCCUUGAUGGGAUUGAGGAUUUGAGGAAGAGCAAGGGUGAACCAACAGAGCUAAAGGCACCUUGUGCUCCUUAUAAGCCCAUGAACGGGCCGAAUUGCUACUAAGUAGAUAUUGCUUUCUUGAGAGAUUGUCCCCUCGGGCGAGCCGCCCGAAUGCAGUUAUGUGUUUCUUUGUUGUUGCAGACAAUGUGGGAAGGUGUUCAAGCCAGAGAAGAUGCAUGCCCACAUGAAAUCUUGCAAGGAGCUGAAAGCUUUCUCCAAAUGUGGCUGCUGAUAAUAAGGCAACUAAAGAAAGUGGGGACUCAUUUUCUGGCCAUUUGUUCACUCUUUACUAAUUAAAGCCACAUUCUAUAGACAGAGAGAUGUAAAGCGUUUCAGCCUUCUUUGUGAAAAGAGAUGCAAUUUCGAUA